UCCAGACUCCUACGGGAGGCAGCAGUGAGGGAUAUUGGGCAAUGGGGGAAACCCUGACCCAGCGACGCCGCGUGAGGGAAGACGGUAUUCGGAUUGUAAACCUCUGUCUUUGGGGAAGAAAAUGACGGUACCCAAAGAGGAAGCUCCGGCUAACUACGUGCCAGCAGCCGCGGUAAUACGUAGGGAGCGAGCGUUGUCCGGAAUUACUGGGUGUAAAGGGAGCGUAGGCGGGCGAGAAAGUUGAAUGUUAAAUCUACCGGCUUAACUGGUAGCUGCGUUCAAAACUUCUUGUCUUGAGUGAAGUAGAGGCAGGCGGAAUUCCUAGUGUAGCGGUGAAAUGCGUAGAUAUUAGGAGGAACACCAGUGGCGAAGGCGGCCUGCUGGGCUUUAACUGACGCUGAGGCUCGAAAGCGUGGGGAGCAAACAGGAUUAGAUACCCCUGUACA
rnacentral:rRNA from 1 species